GCCCCGGUAGCGCAGGCUGGGAGCGCGCCCGGCUGAAGACCGGGGUGUCGCCGGUUCAAGUCCGGCCCGGGGCA
rnacentral:tRNA from 1 species